rnacentral:rRNA from 1 species
AUUGAACGCUGGCGGCAUGCUUUACACAUGCAAGUCGAACGGCAGCAGGGGCUUCGGCCCGCUGGCGAGUGGCGAACGGGUGAGUAAUGCAUCGGAACGUACCCAGUCGUGGGGGAUAACGUAGCGAAAGUUACGCUAAUACCGCAUACGUCCUGAGGGAGAAAGCGGGGGAUCUUCGGACCUCGCGCGAUUGGAGCGGCCGAUGUCAGAUUAGCUAGUUGGUGAGGUAAAGGCUCACCAAGGCGACGAUCUGUAGCGGGUCUGAGAGGAUGAGCCGCCACACUGGGACUGAGACACGGCCCAGACUCCUACGGGAGGCAGCAGUGGGGAAUUUUGGACAAGGGGCGAAAGCCUGAUCCAGCCAUGCCGCGUGAGUGAAGAAGGCCUUCGGGUUGUAAAGCUCUUUCGGACGGGAAGAAAUCUUCUGGGUCAAUACCCCGGGAGGAUGACGGUACCGUAAGAAGAAGCACCGGCUAACUACGUGCCAGCCGCCGCCGUAAGAC